GACGAACGCUGGCGGCGUGCUUAACACAUGCAAGUCGAACGGAAAGGCCCUGCUUUUGUGGGGUGCUCGAGUGGCGAACGGGUGAGUAACACGUGAGUAACCUGCCCUUGACUUUGGGAUAACUUCAGGAAACUGGGGCUAAUACCGGAUAGGAGCUCCUGCUGCAUGGUGGGGGUUGGAAAGUUUCGGCGGUUGGGGAUGGACUCGCGGCUUAUCAGCUUGUUGGUGGGGUAGUGGCUUACCAAGGCUUUGACGGGUAGCCGGCCUGAGAGGGUGACCGGCCACAUUGGGACUGCGAUACGGCCCAGACUGCUACGGGAGGCAGCAGUGGGGAAUAUUGCGCAAUGGGCGGAAGCCUGAUGCAGCAACGCCGCGUGCGGGAUGACGGCCUUCGGGUUGUGAACCGCUUUCGCCUGUGACGAAGCGUGAGUGACGGUAAUGGGUAAAGAAGCACCGGCUAACUACGUG
rnacentral:rRNA from 1 species